GGGGUCCUUGAAAAAUGAAAAAUAUGUCCUUGAAAGUCCUUGAAUUCUUAGUCCAAAAAAGGGUACGAACCCUGAACUUUAAAAGGGGUGCUUUUUUA